ensembl:lncRNA
CUCAUAGUGGCAUGCAUUCAUUAAGGCUUGGCAUAAGGCAAUGCAUAUGAUUAUCUGUGGCAUGCAUAGGGGUAAUGUAAAGGGCUUAACUUUUGGAGAUGCUGAUUCUACUAUGCGUUUCAUCUGUGCACUGUGGGACUGAGAUCUAUAAAAGAGCAGGAUUAGAAACGGUCUACUCAUUUUUGCACAGAGGAGCAUACGUUUAUGAUGCUUCCUCAUUUGCAGCGCGUGCACCUGCGGUUAGGCGGGGAGGCUGUUAGCAUCACCGCGCGCGUGCAGUCUUUUAAUUCUACUUUAUUCUUCUUCUCAUUGUUAUCAUGAUCAUUUCUUAAAAAGAAUCUGAUGUCAUUUGGCCUCGCUAGUUCUGUAUUCACGCCUCCGAUCACGCAAAGCACAGUCAAUAUUCCACGCCUUUUCCACUACAUAAACUGCAUGACGGAAUUAUUAUGCACCGCGCGUGCUGUUUACUUUAGUGCCAACUUCACUAUCAUCACCGCUUAUCUACCGAUACGUUACCGAGAAAUGACAUAAACGAUACAAAAAUGCAUGAAAAUCAGCUUUAAAACUGUCUCCGCACUCAGCAUUUUUCCAGAAGAGAGAGAGAGAGAGAAGGAGGACAAGACAUUCCACCCUGCCAUUUAUUAGCCAAAGUGGAUUAAUGGUACACACCUGCUUUCCUGUACACAGCGUCACUGUAUUAGCUGGUAAGUUCAUUUUCGAAUUCACAAUCAAACCCAUAUUGAUGUAUAUGGAAUUUUGGACAGAACUCUCGAAAACGGAAAAUCGGCUACGUCGGUUACACUUGAUGUCAGGUGCGGCGCGGAAUUAUUUAUUGAUUUUUAAAUUUUUAAUCUUAUUAUUAACUGAGUUAUUAUUCACUUCUGAUUAGCUGAGGUCACGCUAAUAAUACGAACUCGGCUAGCUAAUGAUGCUAAAUUUCUACAACAGUGCUGUUGAACGCUGGAUUCUGAUUGGUCAGAAGAUGAAAAGUUGAUGAAUUUUCUAAAGCGGCGAACAAAGCCGACGUUUUCCGACGUCCCGCGUGCUAACAGUAACUUUGCUUCAUCACACCACCCUGUCGUCGGUGAUCGCCCUAUAUAUAACGGAACACGCGCGAGGGUUUUAUUCCUUGCGGAUCAGAUUUAUAUCAUCAUCUAAUCUGUGAUCAGAUUUUCUGUACUAGAAGCUAAAGACGUGGUAACAGUCUGGCCUCGCACUAGCGUAGCGCUGAGGAGUUAGCAGGCUGCGUUCUUAGCUAGCGCUCUGCGAUGUUUUUAUGUAUUUUCAACACGUCUCGCUUCUUAAGGGGAUUUGUCAAGAAAACAUCCUGAUAAUGUGUUUCAAACUCCUGUGUACGAAACGUACGGGAAAAGAAACCCGAAGUCACCUCACGUCUCGCCUCUAUUCGUGUGCUAGCAUGAUGUUAGCUAAUAGCUAGAAGAAUGCGUUUUGCACCAGUAGUUAGUUGUUUUUUUUUUAUUGUCUAAGAAUUCUGUGUGAGAUUUUUAAAGUAAGUGUGUGUGUGUGUGUGUGUGUGUGUGUGUGUUGAUUUAGACCUGCAGGUUGGACAGUGCUAAAGUAGAAACUAGAUUAGCC